UGUACCCUUAGCUCAGUUAGGCAGAGCAUAUGGCGAGUUAAUAACCGUCCGGUCGUAGGUUCGAGUCCUACAGGGUACAU
rnacentral:tRNA from 1 species